rnacentral:rRNA from 1 species
GAUGAACGCUGGCGGCGUGCCUAAUACAUGCAAGUCGAACGAAAAUUCUUUUUUACCGUGGGGUUGUACUCACCGAAAAAGAGUUGUGUGGCGAAAGGGGGCGUAACUCGUGGGCAAACUGCCCAAAAGAAGGGGGGAAUACUUGGGAACAGGUGCUAAUGCCGCAUAACCCUAGUUACAGCAUUGUAACUAUUGAAAAUGUGGUCAUACCAUCGCCUUUUGAUGGGGCCGCGGCGCAUUAGCUAGUUGGUAGGGUAAAGGCUUACCAAGGCAAUGAUGCGUAGCCGAAUUGAGAGGUUGAUCGGCCACAUUGGGACUGAGACACGGCCCAAACUCCUACGGGAGGCAGCAGUAGGGAAUCUUCCACAAUGGGCGAAAGCCUGAUGGAGCAACGCCGCGUGGGUGAAGAAGGUCUUCGGAUCGUAAAACCCUGUUGUUAGAGAAGAAAGUGCGUGAGAGUAACUGUUCACGUUUCGACGGUAUCUAACCAGAAAGCCACGGCUAACUACGUG